AGCGAGAACCGGGGCUUCGGCCCCUCGGGAAAGCGGCGAACGGGUGAGUAACACGUGAGUAAUCCACCCUCGGCACCGGGAUAGCCCGGGGAAACCCGGAUUAAUACCGGAUGGCCCAGCAGCUCUUCGGGGCGGCUGGAAAAGGUAGCUUCGGCCUCCGGCCGAGGACGAGCUCGCGGCGGAUUAGCUUGUUGGUGGGGUAACGGCCUACCAAGGCGACGAUCCGUAGCUGGUCUGACAGGACGAUCAGCCACACUGGGACUGAGACACGGCCCAGACUCCUACGGGAGGCAGCAGUGGGGAAUCUUGCGCAAUGGGCGAAAGCCUGACGCAGCGACGCCGCGUGCGGGAAGAAGGCCUUCGGGUUGUAAACCGCUUUCAGGAGGGACGAAGCCACUCGGGUUAACAGCCCAGAGGGUGACGGUACCUCCAGAAGAAGCCCCGGCUAACUACGUGCCAGCAGCCGCGGUAAUACGUAGGGGGCAAGCGUUGUCCGGAUUUAUUGGGCGUAAAGCGCGUGUAGGCGGCCAUGCAGGUCCGCUGUGAAAACUCGAGGCUCAACCUCGAGAGGUCGGUGGAAACCGCAUGGCUAGAGUCCGGAAGAGGAGAGUGGAAUUCCCGGUGUAGCGGUGAAAUGCGCAGAUAUCGGGAAGAACACCCGUGGCGAAGGCGGCUCUCUGGGACGGUACUGACGCUGAGACGCGAAAGCGUGGGGAGCGAACAGGAUUAGAUACCCUGGUAGCCCACGCCGUAAACGAUGGGUGCUAGGUGUGGGAGGUGUCGACUCCUUCCGUGCCGCAGCUAACGCAUUAAGCACCCCGCCUGGGGAGUACGGCCGCAAGGCUAAAACUCAAGGAAUUGACGGGGGCCCGCACAAGCAGCGGAGCAUGUGGUUUAAUUCGACGCAACGCGAAGAACCUUACCUGGGCUUGACAUGCACGGGAAUGUCGUAGAAAUACGGCAGCCCU
rnacentral:rRNA from 1 species